CGAAGGGGGCUAGCGUUGCUCGGAAUUACUGGGCGUAAAGGGCGCGUAGGCGGACAGUUUAGUCAGAGGUGAAAGCCCAGGGCUCAACCUUGGAAUUGCCUUUGAUACUGGCUGUCUUGAGUUCGGGAGAGGUGAGUGGAAUGCCGAGUGUAGAGGUGAAAUUCGUAGAUAUUCGGCGGAACACCAGUGGCGAAGGCGACUCACUGGCCCGAUACUGACGCUGAGGCGCGAAAGCGUGGGGAGCAAACAGGAUUAGAUACCCUGGUAGUCCACGCCGUAAACGAUGAGUGCUAGUUGUCGGCAUGCAUGCAUGUCGGUGACGCAGCUAACGCAUUAAGCACUCCGCCUGGGGAGUACGGUCGCAAGAUUA
rnacentral:rRNA from 1 species